rnacentral:rRNA from 1 species
GACAGGUGGAGCGAUUAGAAGUGAGAAUGCCGGUAUGAGUAGCGAAAGACAGGUGAGAAUCCUGUCCACCGAAUGACUAAGGUUUCCUGGGGAAGGCUCGUCCUCCCAGGGUUAGUCGGGACCUAAGCUGAGGCCGAAUGGCGUAGGCGAUGGUCAACAGGUUGAUAUUCCUGUACCAGUUUCUUUUGUUUGACCGAUGGAGGGACGCAGCAGGCUAAGAUAUGCCCACUGAUGGAUGUGGGUGCAAAUAAUAAGUCUGGCGAUGAGUCAAAUGCUU